rnacentral:rRNA from 1 species
CCUACGGGAGGCUGCAGUGAGGAAUAUUGGUCAAUGGACGGAAGUCUGAACCAGCCAUGCCGCGUGCAGGAAGACGGCUCUAUGAGUUGUAAACUGCUUUUGUACAAGGGUAAACCUGAAUACGUGUAUUCAGCUGAAAGUACUGUACGAAUAAGGAUCGGCUAACUCCGUGCCAGCAGCCGCGGUAAUACGGAGGAUCCAAGCGUUAUCCGGAUUUAUUGGGUUUAAAGGGUGCGUAGGCGGAUUGAUAAGUUAGAGGUGAAAUGUCCGAGCUUAACUCGGGAACUGCCUCUAAUACUGUUGAUCUAGAGAGUAGAUGCGGUAGGCGGAAGGCGUGGGGUAGCGGUGAAAUGCAUAGAUAUCACGCAGAACCCCGAUUGCGAAGGCAGCAUGCCGGCUUCCGACUGACGCUGAAGCACGAAAGCGUGGGGAUCGAACAGGAUUAGAUACCCUGGUAGUC